CUACGGGUGGCUGCAGGCGCGAAAACUUUACAAUGCAGGAAACUGUGAUAAGGGAACCCCGAGUGCCCGUAUAUGCGGGCUGUCCGGAUGUCUAAAAAGCAUCCGAAGAAAGGGCCGGGCAAGACCGGUGCCAGCCGCCGCGGUAAUACCGGCGGCUCGAGUGGUGGCCACUUUUAUUGGGCUUAAAGCGUUCGUAGCUUGAAUAAUAAGUCUCUUGGGAAAUCUGCAGGCUUAACCUGCAGGCGUUUAAGAGAAACUGUUGUUCUAGGAACCGGAAGAGGUGAGAGGUACUCCGGGGGUAGGAGUGAAAUCCUGUAAUCCCCGGGGGACCACCGAUGGCGAAGGCAUCUCACCAGGACGGCUUCGACAGUGAGGAACGAAAGCUGGGGGAGCGAACCGGAUUAGAUACCCGCGUAGUC
rnacentral:rRNA from 1 species